rnacentral:tRNA from 1 species
GGGGGUAUGGCUCAGUUGGUAGAGCGCCUGCUUUGCACGCAGGAAGUCAGCGGUUCGAAUCCGCUAACCUCCA